GCCGCAGGACGCGCGAACCGGGAGCGGCGGCUGGAGCUCCGCUUACGGGCCGAGCCUGAAAUCAGUGGAGACACAGCACACACCACGGGCUAUUCCCCCGGAAGAAAGAGGCCUUCACUCGAAGCAGGGGAGUUCUCCCUGUUGGAAGCGGUGGGUUUCCUGGUUUCCUGCCCAGUUUCUGGGCUCUCCUUCGCUGCCUUUUCUCCAAACCAGGUGUGCCAGCAGGUGAAAGAGGUUUGGGAGCCUGCCCGAGAAGCUUGUGACAGGGAGAAGUGCUGAGCAGGAUGUAACCUACUGCAGGAUGCACAGAUAAGUAUUUACUCCGACGUGGAGAGCGUGCUUCCCGAUUCCCGAGUAACCUGACAAUGGAGGCCAACGUUAUGUGCAAACCCUUUUGCCCAAAAUGAGCCCGCCGUGUCGCAGGCAGGCCCUCUGCUUCUCGAUUUGGGGUCAGCAGGGACAGGGAAUGGAGGGGGCACACAGCUGAGCUGGGGGAUGCCUGUGGGAAGAACCAAGCCUGCCAUGGUGCCACUGGGACAGCCCUGGGGCAACGUGGCCGGAAGCCACACGGCUGGGGGCCACAGGAGCGGUUCACGUAUUCCACUGAGGAGCGGUCUGUGGCAAAAAAACACCACGACCUUCCCCGUUUUACAGAAGUUGUGCCAGACAGUUGAGCUGAGGCAGCACACCUGUCAACCGUCCCAGCUCAGGCUCGCCUCGGAGGUACCGUGGGUUCCCUUCCAGACCAGCACAGAAAAGCGAUUCAAAUGAAUGUUUUGGUUUUCAAGUGCGUAUGAAGGUUAUGUAUACACCGUACUGCGGCCUAGUGUGUAGUAACCUUGUGCCUAAAAAAAGACCUGUCUUAAU